GAGAUGUGUAGCUGUAAAUUUAUUUUUAGAAGUUACUGUUAAUUUAUAUUAAUUUUAACCAUGACUAGGUUAUUUUAUAUUUUAAUACUUCAUGAUGUAUUUAAAUGAGUAGUUAUUGUUGCCAAAUUAAUUAGAAAUUUGAAUUGAGAUUAUUUUUUGAAUAAGGGAUUAGGGGAGGUGAAAUUUUUUUUUUCUCAUUUCAGAUUUCAGAUAUUAAAAAGAUUUUUUUGUGGGGAUUUAUAUUCAACAGCAUAGUGUAUUGCACAACAGCAAAAAAAAAAAUUUUUUGUUCAUUACUUUUUUUUAGACCACAUUCCCUCUGUGUCAGAAACCUUUGCUGUGUCAACUAUUUAAUCACAAUCCAAAUUCAAUAUAAUUUUUUAUAUAAUUAGAGGUUCCAGAGCCUUGGUAAGCUGUAUAAUCAGUGCCUUUGAUUAGAUAAGAGGUGGGGUGGAUUAUUUUUUCAUGUGUUGUCAAGACAUGUUCUUGUGAUAUAGUAGCUUCAAUAGUUUUAAUUCUGAAUUCAUGUCACAAAUUUUCUUAAGCUGUAUAAUUGGUAAAUGUCUUUCAGACAAACUCCAUACCUGGCAGUCUUUCCAAUUUUCCCCAUCUUUAGCAGAUGUGUAGAUGUGGGAGAGUGUGCAAGUGGACAAUUUUUGUUUUGUCACCCUCUCAUUGAUAAAACACUGAAUUAAAAUAUGACACUGACUAAGGAUUAUGUAUGUUCCUCCUCAUUUUUCAGUUUAAAACUACACCACUGAAAAAUGGAUGCAGAUAGUUGAAUAGUUCAAAGACAACCUAUGUUAGACUGAAUGACCUUUGCCCACACGUUUCAAAAUUUGGUUCCAAAUGGUUCUUUGGUUUAAUCUUGACCGAUCUGUUUAUGAAUAUAAGUUGCACAUAGACACUAGUAAUAAAUAUCCACCUGUACAGAUAUAUCAUGUUCAGAAAGGACAAUUCAUGCCCAGAAAAUGCAAAAAGUUCUUAGCUGCUAAGCAAUAAUUUCUCCAUCCUCACAUCACCUAAUUACACACUAGUUUUGAAAUAUUUACUUAUUGUUUUGGAUUUUUGACAUUUCAUUUUUCAAUGUAUUUAAAUGAUACAAAAUUAAUUUAAUGUUAGAUGCUCUAUGAUGAUUUAUGUGUUCAUUUAACC
rnacentral:lncRNA from 1 species